GGAAGCAGGACCCACACUGAAACCCCUCUUCUCUCAGAUGAGGAGGGGUACGAGCACCCAGACAGCGAGGAAGAAGCAGCACCCGAGGAUGGUGACAACUAUGAAAACACGGACAGGGACGUGACACUGUGCAUGGGAGACAAGGGGUCCAGCGAGGGUGCCUGCUACGAGAACAGCCUGGAGAACAGAAUGGGGGGCAGCUGGGCUUCAG